rnacentral:lncRNA from 10 species
AGUUUAAGGUGACACGUGGAGAGCGCGGCGGACGUCCUUACCUCCAGAGGAAGUGGGGAUUUUGAUAGUUCGGGCUGACCUACGCGGUCUAUCCUGCAGUCUACGGGCAAAGUCACUAAAAAUGUGCAGGUAGAAUAUGGUGAUGGGUGCUGUGCAAGAAGAAGGAGGGAAGAAGGAAGCUGAGUGUGCAGCAAAGACACCUGCAGGGACACAUAGAACCAGGCAUUUGCUGAAGGACACCUGGAUUGCACAACCAGCGGCUAACUUGCAUGAAAAAACAUUCUAGGUAAGUUCCAUAAAGGAUCCCAAAAGGGGUGCCAAGAAAUGUCAUAGAUCUGCUCGGGGACUGAGUUUUGCCUUCCCAGGUAUAAAAAGAGUGGACAUCUAGGUGGACUAAAAUCAGAGCUUUGAAGGGCAGAUGGAAUAGACUGGGUAUGAGGUUCUUUGAAGGCAGACAUUGAAGUGGUAUCAUGAUGUCUGGGCUGGCAUGGAAGGAAGUGAAACCGUAGAAACUGGCAUGAUGAGCUGGAGAGAAGG